rnacentral:rRNA from 1 species
GAACGCGAAGAACCUUACCUACCCUUGACAUGCUAGGAAGUCCACAGAGAUGUGGAUGUGCCCGAAAGGGAACCUGGACACAGGUGCUGCAUGGCUGUCGUCAGCUCGUGUCGUGAGAUGUUGGGUUAAGUCCCGCAACGAGCGCAACCCUUGCUAUUAGUUGCUACAUUCAGUUGAGCACUCUAAUGGGACCGCCGGUGACAAACCGGAGGAAGGUGGGGAUGACGUCAAGUCCUCAUGGCCCUUAUGGGUAGGGCUUCACACGUAAUACAAUGGUCGGUACAGAGGGUUGCCAACCCGCGAGGGGGAGCUAAUCCCAGAAAGCCGAUCGUAGUCCGGAUUGUAGUCUGCAACUCGACUGCAUGAAGCCGGAAUCGCUAGUAAUCGCGGAUCAGCAUGUCGCGGUGAAUACGUUCCCGGGUCUUGUACACACC